GACGAACGCUGGCGGCGUGCUUAACACAUGCAAGUCGAACGGAAAGGCCCUGCUUUUGUGGGGUGCUCGAGUGGCGAACGGGGGAGUAACACGUGAGUAACCUGCCCUUGACUUUGGGAUAACUUCAGGAAACUGGGGCUAAUACCGGAUAGGAGCUCCUGCUGCAGGGUGGGGGUUGGAAAGUUUCGGCGGGUGGGGAUGGACUCGCGGCUUAUCAGCUUGUUGGUGGGGGAGUGGCUUACCAAGGCUUUGACGGGUAGGCGGCCUGAGAGGGUGACCGGCCACAUUGGGACUGAGAGACGGACCAGACUGCUACGGGAGGCAGCAGUGGGGAAUAUUGCACAAUGGGCGGAAGCCUGAUGCAGCAACGCCGCGUGCGGGAUGACGGCCUUCGGGUUGUAAACCGCUUUCGCCUGUGACGAAGCGUGAGUGACGGUAAUGGGUAAAGAAGCACCGGCUAACUACGUG
rnacentral:rRNA from 1 species